rnacentral:lncRNA from 1 species
UUCGGAGGACCUGGUGACUGCGCUGCUGUCACAGCUAGUGGCGGACAGCUACUUCUUCCCCGUUGCUUCCUCAGCCCCUUGCAAGAGGGCAGCCUCUUCCAAAAGCCAGGCAGCCAGGGAAGAGGCUGCUCUGUGCUGAAGGUAAGACUGCUGCCUAGUCACUCUCCUAACGUGCCAGCGACCUCACCAUCUGCUUUCAGAUCAGAACGUCUCCACCUGUAGAGCUUAUCAAAGAGGCCCUGAAGAGCGAGUGCCUCUGCUGGUUUCCCUGGUAACCAGUGAACGACCUGACGUCAAUUGGUAACUGCUAACCUUCCCCACCCCCUGGAAGCCAUGUCCUGCCCACCAUCUGCUGUACACAGUGGGGUGUCGCUCCAGGACCUUGCUUCAGACUGGUUGACUGGGCUCAGCUGGGAAGUUCUGUUUCUGUGGUGUUGGCUGGAGCUGUAGUCACCUGGGAGACCCACUCACAGCGCUGACCAUUGGUGCUGGAUGUCACGUGGGGCAGUUCACUAAAGCACCCCCUCCUCUUCUCUCCUCUCCUCCGCGUGACCUUCCCACAAGGUUCCAGCUUUAUACAUCAUAGAAGCCCAUCAUGCAAGAGGAAUUUAAAAGGUAACCUGCAGAUUUCUUAAAAGCCCAUUUAUAAUUCACCUUGAGAUAUUCCAUGCAGUCACUUUUGUCGCAUUCCGUCAAUCACAGCCAAUCACAAGCCAGAGUGGCUUAAAAAGUGGGAGGGACAACAAAUUUGGUCCAUCUGUAGUCCACCACAGUCUGCCCUCCGGUCUUAAAAUAUUUACAUUUCUGUAGAAAGGUAAAAAUGUACUAACUCCCUCUUUCAAGCCCACCAAAAGUCUUGUCACAGCAUCAAGUUCAGGCUUAGAAUACAGUAUCAACACCUAAACCUUGUCCAGGUGUGGACAAGGCUUCUUGAGGUUGCCUUCAUGGGUAGUUUUUUUUUGGUUUGUUUAUUGUUGUUGUUGUUUUUGUUGCUUUCAAAUGCAGAGAUUGUGGUCUAGAAAGACAGGUUAUCUGCUCCAGUAAACAAAAACCAACUGGGAGAUAGUGAUAGGAUAGCCCCAGUAGACAUGCUCAACCAAAAAAGGACAGAAUUAACACAUGCCUGGAAUCCUGCUAUUCCCAGGGUAGGAAGUAUGUGUAUUAGGCAUGCAGUUUGCCCGUUUGUGUAGUUCUUUGGGUUUCCUCUGAAACCCAAAAGAACGCCUCUGAGUCAUGCGUUCUUCUCUAUAAGAAAUAGUCCGUAUUUGUAGCCGAGAAGUUUUGUUAGCCUAUUCUUUGCCCAUAGACCUCUAGUCAUCUUUUCCUUUUGAAUUGUUUUUCCCCGCUUUAAAUUCGAGCCAGUUUGUUUCCACUAGUGCACUCUUCUAACAACUUUGUAUAUAUUCUGUGGAUGAAUCACAAAUUAAUAAGGAAUGACUCAUUCUUGCUUAUAUUUCCAGAGAAGGAGGGAGAAAUCUAACUUGAUUCUCAUGACAUGAGUCCUUGUAUCAAGCAAUUAACACACAUUUUGUGGAAUUCUGACAAUAGUCAUGCAAGUUGCAUAUCCAUGUGUUUAUGGAUGAGAAAAUCAAAAUGAGGAAAAGCUAGUUGAUCAUUUUCCUAUCACUUAUAAAUAGCAGAUGCAAGAUUAAAAACCAAAUAUGUCUAGAAUCAAACUCUAAAUAUUUUCUGUUACAUUGUCUUUAACUCUAGACUUUUUUUUUUUUUUUGCUUAUUGUUUAUUUUGAAAAUAAAGUUGAGGCAGCAGAGGAGCUGUAGAAUGGUUAUUUUUAAGAUAUGUCAUUUAGGCAAUUGUUAUCUAGUAAGCCAUUUCCAAAAAUUUAAAUUUAAAAUGACUGAAUUAGUUUAAAUUUGAUAAACACAGAAACAUUCAAGAGUAUAGUUACUGGCAUAAAUGAUGGACAUCCCUGCUACCAGGUCAUAAUCAGUGCCAAAUUGAUAGCAAAGUCCUGAUUAAAUAUGUAAGUUUAGUUAGAAAAAUUAGCAAACCACAUCAAACAUAAUUUUUAAUAAAAUACUGUCAUGGGAGUAAAUAAUUCUAUGGAUAUAUAAUUUAUUAAGAAGACAGCUCAAACCAUUUUAAUUCAUUUAUUUAGUACAGUAAUCCUUAGAGCCUUUAAUAUGCCAGUAGUUUUUUAUUUUCUCUAAGGGUAUAACAUAUAGUACUUAGAAAUAUAUUUGAUUUUGGAAAUUUUUAUGAGAAGUUUUGUAAGAGUCGUAAGAACUUGUUAUAUAGUCUUAGAAAUUAUGCCUUAGAAAAAUCUAGAGUAUUGUGUAAACUGAAAGAAUAUUUUAAGAAUGUAGCAAAUUACUAUAUUUUCUUACUUAAGCCCAUGAUAUUCAUGAAAAUGUAAAAUGGUUCAUUUUAUUGUGUGUGCCCUAGCUAUGAGACUUUAAGAUAUAUGAUUAUAUGCUUUGUUUUAGUCAUAUUUAAACUUAAAAAUUAUAUUGUUUUGGAGAAUAAUAUAAGUUAUAAAUUUCAACAUUCGCAACAAGGGCUACUAUUCAGUUUUUACUUUGCAGCAUUGUCAUAUGGGUUGUUUAUGGUCAGAAUCUAAUAUGAUUUUCCAUGCACCUAUAGAUGGGUUAAUGCUCCCAUCUGGAUAGUGCUGUACUAGUUGAUAUAUAUUUAAACAUUACUCUAAUUAAAAUAAGAUAUUAAAAUAUUACUAUUAAAUUACAGAUUAAAAUAUUACUCUAAUUAAAAUGUUACAAUUAUUAUUAACCAAUAGGUGUUUCAUUGCCUCUAUCCUGCCCAUUAAGGCUUUUCUCAGUCUCUUAGUAAUUGUUUUGAAGUUUUUCCUUGUAUAUCCUUCUAAUGAUUCCUUAAGUAGAUGCCAGUAAAUGAGUGCAUAUUAAUAUUGUCUACCUUUUACUUAUGAUAUAUUACUCAUUAUAUAUCCCAUACUGUAAUUUACUUUUUUUCCUUGGCAUUUAUCCUUGAGUUUUGGGUUUCCCCUCUGCCCUUAUCAAUACAUAAAGAGCUUUUCCAUUUUGUAAGAUAAGCCCAGUGUUGCAUGGUACGCAUACCCCUUGGGUUAACUAAUCUUCUAUUGAUGAAUAUUUGUUUUGUGCCUGUUAUUUUCUUAUUUGAAAAGAAUGCUGUGAUAUACAGUAUGUACAUAUGUCAAAUAACGUGAGGGUAUUUUUUAAGAUAGGAGGCGAGAUUGCUAGGUCGAAUAUUAAAGGCAUUUGUAAUUUUGACAGAUAUUUACAGAUUGCCUUUUAGAAGGUUCAUUAUUUUGAACUCACAUCAACAAUAUAUGAAGAUCUGACUUUUCCCAAUUUGUGUUCUUUGUUGAACUUAGAUUUUUGCGAACAUUAUAGAUGAAAAAUGUUUUCUCAGUUUGACUUUUCUCAGCAUUUCUCCUAAAAUAAGCGGGGUGGGAAUUUUUUUUUUAGCAUGUUUAAGGACUCUUGUUUUCCCUCUCGUUCUCAAGGCAUGUUAUCCAUAUUAGGUGUUCCUGAAGAAAUUACUUACAUUCCACUCAAACAAGAUAGAGGGUAAAUCUUUAGGAAAAGACAACGCUGUUAAAAGAUUUGAUAGGAAGUUCCCAUUGUUGUGCAGUGAAAACAAACCCAACUAGUAUCCAUGAGGAUGUGGGUUUGAAUCCCUCGUCUAGUUCAUUGAGCCAGGGAUCUGGCAAAGCCUUGAGCUGUGAUGUAGGUCACAGACAUGGCUUGGAUCCUGCAUUGCUGUGGCUGUGGCUGUGGUCUAGGCCAGCAGCUGCAGCUCCCAUUCAACCCCUAGCCUGGGAAUUUCCAUAUGUUGCAGGUGUGGCCCUAAAAAGCAAAAAAAAAAAAAAAAAAAAANAAAAAAA